rnacentral:rRNA from 1 species
GAUGAACGCUGGCGGCGUGCCUAAUACAUGCAAGUCGAGCGAACAGACGAGGAGCUUGCUCCUCUGACGUUAGCGGCGGACGGGUGAGUAACACGUGGAUAACCUACCUAUAAGACUGGGAUAACUUCGGGAAACCGGAGCUAAUACCGGAUAAUAUAUUGAACCGCAUGGUUCAAUAGUGAAAGACGGUUUUGCUGUCACUUAUAGAUGGAUCCGCGCCGCAUUAGCUAGUUGGUAAGGUAACGGCUUACCAAGGCAACGAUGCGUAGCCGACCUGAGAGGGGGAACGGCCACCCUGGAACUGAGACACGGUCCAGACUCCUACGGGAGGCAGCAGUAGGGAAUCUUCCGCAAUGGGCGAAAGCCUGACGGAGCAACGCCGCGUGAGUGAUGAAGGUCUUCGGAUCGUAAAACUCUGUUAUUAGGGAAGAACAAAUGUGUAAGUAACUAUGCACGUCUUGACGGUACCUAAUCAGAAAGCCACGGCUAACUACGUG